UACGAAGGUCCCAAGCGUUGUUCGGAAUCACUGGGCGUAAAGGGUGCGUAGGUGGCGCCGUAAGUCAGGUGUGAAAUUUCGGAGCUUAACUCCGAAACUGCAUUUGAUACUGCGGUGCUUGAGGACUGGAGAGGAGACUGGAAUUUACGGUGUAGCAGUGAAAUGCGUAGAGAUCGUAAGGAAGACCAGUGGCGAAGGCGGGUCUCUGGACAGUUCCUGACACUGAGGCACGAAGGCCAGGGGAGCAAACGGG
rnacentral:rRNA from 1 species